ensembl:snRNA U6 U6 spliceosomal RNA
GUGCUUGCUUCAGCAGCACAUAUACUAAAAUUGAAAUGAUACGGAGAAGAUUAGCAUGGCCCCUGAUGACACCGAUGUAUAACAUCUACCAAAAAAAGAU